GCUUUAGUUAUAGUCGGUCGUACUACUUGCUUUGCUUGCCUGGAGUAGGAAAGAGUGUGUUCUAUCUAUUUCCUAGCCAGUAACAGGUAGUGCUAGUGUGAUUAUUGCGAACCAUAAGUCACUUAGGUUUGUUUAUCUCCAUUCGCUAUAGUUCAUUAGUGGUUUCCUGCUUCAAGGUCAGUAAGCAAGCAAGGGAACUGGCUCGUUCCGUCCCAGCAAGAAAACAGAUGCGCGCUACUGAGCGAGUUCAGUAUACAACACGAGUGCUUUUUUACCCAGCAAGAAAAUCACAAUGGAUUUCGCGCUAGCGCGCUCUCCCAUUGCUUGGUUGCUUGGUUCUCGCAACAAGGCUUCGAGGCCUGAUUUGGCUAUCACGUUCUCCCCCUUCGUGGGUAGUUUACUGUACUUCAGAAACAUUGCCGAAAGACUAAUAAGCCACUGAUGGAGAUUCAAAUAGGCCAGGCUUAUACUCAAGCACACUAGUUCUUUCUCGAGGUGAAGCCCUUCAUAGAUUGAUCGUUACAUGACUAAUUUAUUACUAAUGACUAAUUACGCUCGUAUGCAUGCGCCUUUGAUUUCAAUAAUCAGUAAGCAAACCAAACAAGUGAGCCCCGCUUUGUCUUCUUUAGUUUUUGGCCUGUAGCCUCUUGUGUGACUCGUAGAUCGACCACUAUUCUCAAUUUAGUAAGGU
rnacentral:lncRNA from 1 species